rnacentral:rRNA from 1 species
UAGGGAAUCUUCGGCAAUGGGGGGAACCCUGACCGAGCAACGCCGCGUGAGUGAAGAAGGUUUUCGGAUCGUAAAGCUCUGUUGUUAAGGAAGAACGAGUGUGAGAAUGGAAAGUUCAUGCUGUGACGGUACUUAACCAGAAAGGGACGGCUAACUACGUGCCAGCAGCCGCGGUAAUACGUAGGUCCCGAGCGUUGUCCGGAUUUAUUGGGCGUAAAGCGAGCGCAGGCGGUUAGAAAAGUCUGAAGUGAAAGGCAGUGGCUCAACCAUUGUAGGCUUUGGAAACUGUUUAACUUGAGUGCAGAAGGGGAGGGUGGAAUUCCAUGUGUAGCGGUGAAAUGCGUAGAUAUUAGGAGGAACACCAGUGGCGAAGGCGACUUACUGGGCCAUAACUGACGCUGAGGCGCGAAAGCGUGGGGAGCAAACAGG